UCGGAUAGCUCCGGGAAACAGAUAAUACGAAUAUGACUGCGCUGACAUCAGCACGUGAAAGUUUUCGCUAGGGAUGGACUCGCGGCUAUCAGCUAGUUGGUGAGGUAACGGCCCACCAAGGCGACGACGGGUAGCCGGCUGAGAGGGCGACCGGCCACACUGGGACUGAGACACGGCCCAGACUCCUACGGGAGGCAGCAGUGGGGAAUAUUGCGCAAUGGGCGAAAGCCUGACGCAGCGACGCCGCGUGGGGGAUGAAGGCCUUCGGGUUGUAAACCCCUUUCAGCAGGGACGAAGCGAAAGUGACGGUACCUGCAGAAGAAGCGCCGGCUAACUACGUGCCAGCAGCCGCGGUAACACGUAGGGCGCAAGCGUUGUCCGGAAUUAUUGGGCGUAAAGAGCUCGUAGGCGGUCUGUUGCGUCCGCUGUGAAAACCUAGGGCUUAACCCUGGGCUUGCAGUGGAUACGGGCAGACUAGAGGUAGGUAGGGGAGAAUGGAAUUCCCGGUGUAGCGGUGAAAUGCGCAGAUAUCGGGAGGAACACCGGUGGCGAAGGCGGUUCUCUGGGCCUUACCUGACGCUGAGGAGCGAAAGCGUGGGGAGCGAACAGGAUUAGAUACCCUGGUAGUCCACGCUGUAAACGUUGGGCGCUAGGUGUGGGGUCCUUCCACGGAUUCCGUGCCGCAGCUAACGCAUUAAGCGCCCCGCCUGGGGAGUACGGCCGCAAGGCUAAAACUCAAAGGAAUUGACGG
rnacentral:rRNA from 1 species